rnacentral:rRNA from 1 species
AACGUAGGACGCAAGCGUUAUCCGGAGUUACUGGGCGUAAAGCGCGGGCAGGCGGUUCCUUAAGUCUGAUGUGAAAUCUCCCGGCUCAACCGGGAGCAGCCAUUGGAAACUAGGGAACUGGAGGGCGAGAGAGGUAGGCGGAAUUCCGGGUGGAGUGGUGAAAUGCGUAGAGAUCCGGAGGAACACCAGAGGCGAAGGCGGCCUACUGGCUCGCACCUGACGCUGAGCCGCGAAAGCCAGGGGAGCGAACGGGAUUAGAAACCCCGGUAGUCCUGGCCGUAAACGAUGUGUGCUGGGUGGUGGGGGGUCUCCCUUCACUGCCGAAGCUAACGCGAUAAGCACACCGCCUGGGGAGUACGGUCGCAAGGCUAAA